CGCCAGACUCCUACGGGAGGCAGCAGUGGGGAAUAUUGCACAAUGGGGGAAACCCUGAUGCAGCGACGCCGCGUGAGUGAAGAAGUAUUUCGGUAUGUAAAGCUCUAUCAGCAGGGAAGAAAAUGACGGUACCUGACUAAGAAGCCCCGGCUAACUACGUGCCAGCAGCCGCGGUAAUACGUAGGGGGCAAGCGUUAUCCGGAUUUACUGGGUGUAAAGGGAGCGUAGACGGCAUGGCAAGUCAGAUGUGAAAGCCCGGGGCUCAACCCCGGGACUGCAUUUGAAACUGUCAGGCUGGAGUGCAGGAGGGGUAAGUGGAAUUCCUAGUGUAGCGGUGAAAUGCGUAGAUAUUAGGAGGAACACCAGUGGCGAAGGCGGCUUACUGGACUGUAACUGACGUUGAGGCUCGAAAGCGUGGGGAGCAAACAGGAUUAGAUACCAGUACU
rnacentral:rRNA from 1 species